GGCUGUGACAAUGACCCACUUACGACGGUCUUAUGACCACGAUCCCGGCCACGGAUGAAGCACGAGUGCUACUUCUGUACAACAAGGGGGCGCGCCGCCGAUUG
rnacentral:snoRNA from 2 species